rnacentral:rRNA from 1 species
GGGGAUGCGGGUAUAGCUGCAGUCGAGCGAGAAGUUUUAAAAGAUACCUCGGUUGAUUUUUAAGAUGGACAGCGGCGAAAGGGAGAGUAACGAGUAGAUUACGUACCCAGGGGUCCGGGAUAGCUGCGGGAAACUGCAGGUAAUACCGGAUAAUGUCUCCGGACCAAAUAUUUAUAGCCCUUGGAGCGGUCUGCUUACUAUUAGUUUGUUGGUGGGGUAAAGGCCUACCAAGACUAAGAUGGUUAGCGGGUGUGAGAGCAUGGCCCGUCUCACUGGGACUGAGACACUGCCCAGACACCUACGGGUGGCUGCAGUCGAGAAUCUUCCGCAAUGGGCGAAAGCCUGACGGAGCGACGCCGCGUGCGGGAUGAAGGCCUUCGGGUUGUAAACCGCUGUCAUAGGGGAGGAAAUUUUGACCGAUCCUAAGAGGAAGCACAGGCUAAGUUCGUGCCAGCAGCCGCGGUAAUACGAACUGUGCAAACGUUAUUCGGAAUCACUGGGCUUAAAGGGUGCGUAGGCGGAUUUAAAGGUCUGAUGUGAAAGCCCACGGCUCAACCGUGGAAUUGCGUUGGAAACCAUGAAUCUUGAGGAGAUCAGAGGUAAGCGGAACUGAUGGUGGAGCGGUGAAAUGCGUUGAUAUCAUCAGGAACACCGGUGGCGAAAGCGGCUUGCUGGGAUCUUUCUGACGCUGAGGCACGAAAGCUAGGGGAGCGAACGGGAUUAGAUACCCCGGUAGUCCUAGCUGUAAACGAUCAGUACUAGUCUGUGAGGACUCUCACAUCCUCUCGGACGUAGCCGAAGUGGUAAGUACUGCCCCUGGGGAGUAUGGUCCCAGGGU